AGGUAUUUAAAUAUUAAAAAAUUAAUAAUAUUUAAUAAAAAAGAUAAAUUAGACAUAAAAUGAUAAAUUAACUCUUGAUGUUUUAAAUUAACUUGAUUAUUUAUGUGAGAUCCAUUUAAAUUUUUUUCACAAGUAUCUUUUAUAGGAAUUUUGUUAUGUCCCUUCUAAUUAGUUGUUAUAAGUCAUUUAAGACAUGUCUGCUUUGCUGUUUCAAUCGUAAUUUUAUUAUAUAGCCCUAAUUAAUUUUUACGAUCAUCGAAGUAUUAAAAAAUUAAUAAUAUUUCAUAAAAGGGGUAAAAUGUACACAAAAUGAUAUGUCAACAUAAAAUAUUUGAUUGACUAUCGAAAUUAUAUUAGUACCACAUAAAUUACGAUGAAACAGAGGAAGAGAUAAAGUAACAUAUAUUGUUUAAAAAUGAGAAGACAUGUAAAUUGAAACAGAGAGAGUAUUAAUAUCUUAUUGAAAAAUUAUGCUAAAAGCAUUAUAAAUCACAUAAUUAACAACUUAAAAAAUAUAAAAUAUCGAUUGACUCUCGAAAUUAUAUCAGUGUUACUUAAAUUGGAAUAGAAGAAAAAUAUUAUAAUUUACAAUAAUUAAAAGUUUAAAUUAUUUUAAUGAUUGAUUAUCUAAAUUAUAUUUGUGUUACAUAACUUAAGAUAAAAAAAAUAACAUAUAUUGGGUCCGUGCCUCCAACGUCUAGUUACUAUAUAUAAGCACUAGUGGAGCGGCUGGAAGCAGGCAACUGACGGUUGACAUGCCUGCUUCCAGCUGACUGCUUGUUCCAUAAUUUUACUAUAUCACCCCUAGUUAAUUAUUAUAUGACAUUUACUUAUUAAAUAAUUAAUACAGUAAUAUUUAAUAAAAAAUAAAAUAGACAUUUAUGACAUGACUGGUUUCAAUUGUAAUUUUACUAUAUCACCUAUAAUUAACUAUUAUGGUUCAUCUAAGUAUUUAAAAAUUGAUAAUAUUUAUUUUGUAAAAGGUGAAAUAAACAUAAAAUGAUAAAUUAAUUCUUGAUGUUUUAAAUUAAUUUGACAUCUUAUGUGAGGCCCACUUAAAAAAAAUUCACAAGUAUUUUUUAUAGCAAUCUUGUUAUAUCACUUUUAAUUAGUUAUUAUGAAUCAUUCAAGACGUUCUGAUUUCGCUAUUUCAAUCGUAAUAUUUGGUUUACUCUUGAAAUUAUAUCAGUGUCGCUUAAAUUAAAAUAGAAAAAAUAUUAUAAAUUACAAUAAUUAAAAACGUAAAUUACUUUUAAAGUCUAAGUUCACUAUCAAUACCGCAAAAGUUUAAACAAGAAGAGUAUUAUAAAUUACAAUAGCAAAUAGCUUAAAAUAGUAAGUUAUAACGUCAAAAAAGCAGUAUAGAUUACAAUAUUUAGAGAUAUCAUAUUAAUUAGGAUAAAAGGAUAUUACUUAAAAAUUACGUAUAAAUUUAAAUUACAAUAAUUAAAAAUUUAAAUUACUUUUAAAGUCUAAAUUCACUAAUAAUACCACAAAAGUUUAAACAAGAAUAGUAUUAUAAAUUACAAUAGCACAUAGCUUAAAAUAGUAAAUUACAACGUCGAAAAAGCAUUAUAGAUUACAAUAGUUAUCGAUGUCAUAUUAAUUAGUAUAAAGGGAUAUUACUUGAAAAUUACGUUGAAAGUAGUAUAAAUCAUAAUAUAAUUAACAACUUAAAAUAUCUAAAACUAUUAUAUAUAACAAAUCUAAUUGACUUUCACAAAUAUUUCAUCAGUGUCAUAUAUAUUUAGACAAAAAAUAAAAUAUAAUAU
rnacentral:lncRNA from 1 species